rnacentral:rRNA from 1 species
UACAGAGGGUGCGAGCGUUAAUCGGAUUUACUGGGCGUAAAGCGUGUGUAGGUGGCUUCCUAAGUCGGUUGUGAAAUCCCUGGGCUCAACCUGGGAAUUGCAGUCGAUACUGGGGAGCUCGAGUUCGGUAGAGGACGGCGGAAUUCCCGGUGUAGCGGUGAAAUGCGUAGAUAUCGGGAGGAACAUCGAUGGCGAAAGCAACCGUCUGGGCCUGAACUGACACUGAGACGCGAAAGCGUGGGGAGCAAACAGG